GCUAGCGACGUGCCUAAGGUAUGCAAGUCGAAUGCCGAUUUAUCGGCAUGGCAGACGGCUGAGUAACACAUGGGAAUCUACCUCAAACUCGAGAAUAGCCCAUCGAAAGGUGGUGUAAUACUCGAUAGUUCCGUUUACGGUAAAGCUCCGGCGGUUUGAGAUGAGCCCAUGUCCUAUCAGGUUGUUGGUGGGGUAAUUGCCUACCAAGCCUAUGACGGGUAGCUGGUUUGAGAGGAUGAUCAGCCAGACUGGGACUGCGAUACGGCCCAGACUCCUACGGGAGGCAGCAACUAGGAAUCAUGCGCAACGGACGAAAGUCUGACGCUGCGACGUCGCGUGAGGGAUGAAGGUCUUCGGAUCGUAAACCUCUUUUAUCUGGGAACAAGUUCUGAGUGUACCAGAUGAAUAAGUGCCUGCCAACCACGUGCCAGAAGCAUCGGUAAUGCGUGGGGCACGAGCGUCAUCCGGAUUUACUGGGCGUAAAGAGAUGCGUAGGCGCCUUUUUAAGUCACUUGUAAAAUCUCCCCGCUCAACGGGGAAACUGCAAGUGAUACUGAAUUGGUUGAGUCAAGUAGAGGAGAGGGGAAUUCCUGGUGGAGCGGUUAAAUGCGUUGAUAUCAGGAGGAAUACCAAGUGCGAAGGCACCUCUCUGGACUUGUACUGACGCUAAGGCUCGAAAGUGUGGGGAGCAAAACGGAUUAGAUACCCGUGUAGUCCACACUGUAAACGAUCCCUGCUAGAUGUUUGC
rnacentral:rRNA from 1 species